UGUGUUGUACUCAUCUCUUUAUCAUAAGUGUCCUAAAUAAUGAAAGAACAAUUCUUCAAGAGAAAAGGAGUGGUCAGCCCCUUUACCCUCCUGUCAAGGAAAAUUAAGCCUGAAGGUCAUACUAUUGGAUGCUUAAAGGCCCUGCCGAUUCAUCACAAGACAGUUUCCACAAACUGAUGGGAGAGAGACACUUGCAAGGCUUAGCAGAGAACAACACUGUCAGUCUGGAGUAAGUGACAAAAAUAAGAAAGGGAAGUCUAUCCUGAUGCCCAGCCAGGGAAAAAUGGGAAGAAAGAGAAGAGAAGAGAAGAGACAGAGAGGUUAUCGCAGGAGUGGGACUGGUGACUAAAGAGGAAAUGAGACCUAAGCUAGCCUCCUUGCCAUGUGAUACUCUGCACCACCUUGAGACUCUGCAGAGAGUACCCACCAACAAGGAAGCUCUCACCAGAUGCGCCCCCUUGACCUUGGACUUCUCCACCUCCAGAACAGUACAAAAUAAAUUUCAUUUCUCAUAAAUUACUCAGUUUCAGAAAUCCUGUUUAAGCAACAGAAAAUGGACUAAGCUACUGCCCUGCUGAUCAGCCAGCCACCUGUACAUGUGCACACCCAGAUGACAUAUGCAAGAAUGUUCAGACCAUGGUAGAUGUUUCCAAAGAUGGCCCCCAUCAAGUCCUUACCCCUGUGCAUGCAUAUGCCCCUUCUCCCAUUCAGUUACCCCCCUUCCCUUGAGACUGAGUUGGUGCUGUAACUGCUUUUACCAAUAGGAUGCAGACAAAAAUAAUGUUCUGAGAAUUUCGAGAUCAAAACCUAACAGACUGAUAGCUUCCAUGUCCUUCUUCUUGGAACAUUCACUCAUAGAAUGCUCCCUCUCAGAACACAGAUACCAUGAGAGAAGUCCAACCGGGUCAUGUGGAGAGGCCACAUGGAAAAGAACUGAGGCCCAACAGCCCACACCACCUUCCAGUCAUGGGAAUGAACCUUAUUGGAUGUUCCAGCUUUGUCAAACCCCCAGAUGGCUUCAGACCCAACCAAGUUUAUGUGAAACAGAAGAGUCACACAGCUGAACCCACUCAACCCACUAAAUUGUGAGAGAUAAUAACAGGUUGUUGUUUGAAGCCACUACACUUUUUUGUGGUUAUGCCGCAACAGAAAAAUGAAACGCAGACCUCUCAAAAUCACAAGUCCACACUGUGAAUAUAUAAAUUUUAGCAAAGCACCCACUAUAGGCCUGCUUCUUUAAUAUAUAUUUUCUCAGUUAAUGCUCAAAACUAUGCUAAGACAUCAGCUUUCUCAUGGCAGAGAGAUUAUGUAAGAGGCAGAACUGAAACUCAAGGCACACUUCCUGGCCCUAAUUGAUGUGUUUGUCUCACUGCAUCUCAGAAGCUGGGACAAGUGACUCUGCGGGGUCAAUUCUCAGCUCUCUGAACAUGUAUCUGCUUUGGGGAUCAGUAUUACCAUGUGUGUUUUCAGGAUCAUGCUCUUCUAUCAUGUAGCCACCAAUGUGCGGCAAUGGAGAACUUUUUAUACAGUAUCCUAACAAAAAUUAGGAAGUCAUCAUUAGAUUCCCCCAAUCAAAUGUAUAAGACAGUACAGAAACAUAAUAAAAGCACAUCUAAAAGCCUCUUGGUAGAUUCAUGCAUCAGAUAAGAUGAUGGGUUAUACAAACUCUGAAGUCCUUUUUCUUCCAGCAAUCUAUGACCUGCCAAGCGCUGUGCAUAAUUCCUUACGUGCAUGAUCUCAUUUAACUUUCUCAAUAAGCCUAUACUUAUAAAGCAGAAACUGUUUUCUUUAGAGGUCUUUGGGGUCUUACUCUGUUACCCUGCUUGGUAUGCAGUGUGCAAACACAGCUCACUUUAACCUCAAACUCCUACACUCAGGACAUCCUCCCACCUCCACCUCCUGAGUAACUGGAACUACAGGCAAACACCACCGUGAGCAGCUAAUUUAACUUAUUUAUGUAUUUAUUUUUUAUUUGUUUAUUUUUAUCUUUUUUUAUUUUUUUAUUUUUUUGAGACAGA
rnacentral:lncRNA from 1 species